UACGUAGGGGGCAAGCGUUGUCCGGAAUCAUUGGGCGUAGAGAGCGUGUAGGCGGCUUGGUAAGUCCGCUGUGAAAGUCCAGGGCUCAACCCUGGAAUGCCGGUGGAAACUGUCAAGCUUGAGUCCGGAAGAGGCGAGUGGAAUUCCUGGUGUAGCGGUGAAAUGCGCAGAUAUCAGGAGGAACACCAAUGGCGAAGGCAGCUCGCUGGGACGGUACUGACGCUGAGACGCGAAAGCGUGGGGAGCAAACAGG
rnacentral:rRNA from 1 species